GGCAGUUUUCUGGGGGAGAUGGGAGCAGGCAGGAUUUUUGUCUUUGGGUUGGUAGGUUACUACAAGAUGAGGGACACAAGGAAAGCCUGUGGGCCCCGGAGGCAUAGACUCCAGGGAAGAAUGUG